rnacentral:tRNA from 1 species
GCCUUCGUGGUGUAGUGGUCAGCACGCUCGAUGCGUAACCGAGAGGUCCGUGGUUCAAUUCCAGGUGAAGGCG